UAAAUCGAUUACAAAGUGGAAUUGAGGUAAUGCUUUUCUAUGCAUUUGAGUUCAAAAACAUGUAUUUGUUGUCAGAAAAGUUGUGUAAUUACAUAUCCUCUGGGAUUUUGACUUAGUUAAGGAACUCAUUAUCUUUCCUUGGACUUGGGAUCUCAUACUGCUUUUUUUAGAAUUUCAAUUAAUUUCACUAAUUUAGGUUGUGUGAUAAUUUCAAUGUUUACAUUGCAUUUUCUUUAAUUCAAUCUGAAUUUCAGGAUACUGCAUCAGUUUCUGAAAAUCAGGAUGCGACUUCGUUGUUGUAAGGUCCUGUUGAUGAGUCCAAAAAUCACCUCCCUGAUAUUCUCUGUGUUAUCCAGGCUUGUUUCUUUUUUAUGUGACACACACACCAGUAUUUACACACCAGUAUUUAAGGAUUGGUAAUCUUUUUUAGAAAUUGAAUGACUUUGGUCUUAUUAUACAUUCGUGAGGAAGGUAAUCAAAAAAGAAAGAAGAUGAGUUCUUUGUUUUAUCACUUAGGAGCAGUGUGAGAUGAAAGUCUUAUGCAUGGUUUUGAAUGAGAGAAACAAGUGAGGAGAUGUCUGCAACUCUUUUCUGUUACUGCAAACAUUAUUCUAUUGUGACUUCUUUGACAUGACAUGAAUAUCCAUUUCGCCCCUUUAUACAUCCUUUUGGUGCAAUGUUUUCUCCUCUUUAACCAGACUUCCAUAUCAAUCAAAUACUAUUGUUGCUAGAGUUCUGUCCUCUUCAUAAUAAACUAUAACGUGGAACAUUUGCUAAGCAUAAUAGUUUGGAAAAAUAAGUAUGUUCUUGAAGGAAAUAGGCUGUAACAUGUUAAAAGACACCUGCUUGCAAGGGAAUUGGCUCUAAAUUAAGAAGUUAAUUUGCAAGUGAUCCAUACAUGUUUUAGUUUUUGUAAUGUAUGUUCUACAUGCCUUUAGGGUAGCAGAGUCUGUGAUUUUCUGCAGUUCUUGACAUUGGCAUGGUGUCAAACUGUUGGUUGAGGAAUAAGUUAUUGGGUGUUGUUUGUUGUGUAAAUCCGUAUCAGCAAUGAAGUAUCUUUAUUUUUCGUUAUUCAACUAGAAAAUUAUGUAAUUGUCACCAUCUUUUGUCAUUUGUAUACCCAACUUGCAAUUCCAUGCCUCAAAUUUUCCUGACUCAUGUAAUGCUUGCUUGUCUCGAUGCAUCAUUAUCUGUUAAGCUCUUCGAGCUUCGGUAAUGAGGCUCACACAUGCUACAAGUCCUUUGUUACUAUAAUUUUUCCUAUUUUAUGUCCUUGUAGGGUUGAGAAGAACAAUUUGCUCACUAAAUUGAAAACCUUCUGCUUUUCAAAAGAUGUACUUGUGUGGAAAUAAGUUUUUAAAGUCUAGAAUGCUUUGGAUAGAGUGUUUGGUCCAGCAACAACUACUCGUCAUGUUUAUGAUGUUGCUGCUCAGCAGGUUGUCAAUGGUGCCAUGCAAGGAAUUAACGGUACUGUAUUUGCAUACGGUGUCACUAGCAGUGGGAAGACUCAUACAAUGCAUGUAAGUUGCUGUACUAGUUUUACGUUUGGUGCUUGUUUCCUCACCCAAAAAGGAUGUGUGCACUAGACAGU